UGGGGAAUAUUGCGCAAUGGGCGAAAGCCUGACGCAGCGACGCCGCGUGAGGGAUGAAGGUUUUCGGAUCGUAAACCUCUGUCAGAAGGGAAGAAGUUGUAUACGAUGAAUAAGCGUAUAUAUUGACGGUACCUUCAAAGGAAGCACCGGCUAACUCCGUGCCAGCAGCCGCGGUAAUACGGAGGGUGCAAGCGUUAAUCGGAAUUACUGGGCGUAAAGCGCGCGUAGGCUGUUAUUUAAGUCAGUGGUGAAAUCCCUGGGCUCAACCCGGGAAUUGCCAUUGAUACUGUAUAACUAGAGUAUGUGAGAGGAUAGUGGAAUUUCUGGUGUAGGAGUGAAAUCCGUAGAUAUCAGAAGGAAGAUCAGUGGCGAAGGCGACUAUCUGGCACAACACUGACGCUGAGGUGCGAAAGCGUGGGUAGCAAACA
rnacentral:rRNA from 1 species